CUCCGACGUGAUUACAAAAAGAACACGAGAGUUCUCUGUGUUUAUUUUAAAAUCCCCUCUAGUGCUGACGACUAACACACCUGGUAGGAAGCUGGCGAGGGAGCCUGGGAAAUGUGGCUGGCAGUCUCAGCCCCCGAAUCUCAGAGCAGCACAGAGAAGCAUGGUCGCAGCGCUAAUGGACAAUAGAAGGUGAAACAUCGGGUCCUAGGGACUUCCCUGGUGGCA